rnacentral:rRNA from 1 species
UACAGAGGGUGCGAGCGUUGUCCGGAAUCACUGGGCGUAAAGCGUGCGCAGGCGGUGAUGUAAGACAGGUGUGAAAUCCCCGGGCUUAACCUGGGAACUGCAUUUGUGACUGCAUCGCUGGAGUGCGGCAGAGGGGGAUGGAAUUCCGCGUGUAGCAGUGAAAUGCGUAGAUAUGCGGAGGAACACCGAUGGCGAAGGCAAUCCCCUGGGCCUGCACUGACGCUCAUGCACGAAAGCGUGGGGAGCAAACAGGAUUAGAUACCCGGGUAGUCC